CGGGUGAGUAACACGUGAGUAACCUACCCCAGAGCAUGGGAUAACACAACGAAAGUUGUGCUAAUACUGUAUAAGCUCACGGUCUCUUUGGGGACAGUGAGAAAAGGUGGCCUCUGAAUAUGCUGCCGCUUUGGGAUGGGCUCGCGGUCCAUUAGCUUGUUGGUAGGGUAAAGGCCUACCAAGGCGACGAUGGAUAGUUGGUCUGAGAGGAUGAUCAGCCACACUGGAACUGAGACACGGUCCAGACUCC
rnacentral:rRNA from 1 species